UUGGUAGGCCUUCACUGGGUUGUGCUAUCCAUUUGUGUGCUAGAGAAUUCUAAUACCAUGGUGUAAUGGAAGGUCAUGCGUUAAAGGUCGGAAUAAUAUGCUGUCAAGCCUAGUAUUGUUUUCAUGUGCUCUAGCAGCAUGUCCACAUUAGUUGCUAAACUGAUGAUGUGCAAUGGUAAAUGACUUCUGGUUCGUAGGUUGGUUCUUCAUUUCAGUUCAUCUUGCUACAGUCCUCAUAAAUACUUUGAGCACUUCAACACUUCAACUAGAUAAGAUUGACUCAAGUUAGGGUGGUUUGCUGGUCGUCAACCCUGGUUUUUGUUGGUCCAACAUUAUUUCAAUUAUCUAGAUGGUAACGAGGGUUAAAAUAGAUGGGUUGAUUGUUGUUUCUCGUUGGAUUGUAAGGUCUCACUUUUUUAAAGAUAAAGUUUAAUUUCUUGCACUUUCUGCCUUUAUUUAUUAUGUCAAGUCAGCAAGACGUCUUACACGCAUUAUUGUGCCAGAGAAUUACUGCAACUUGGAGAUUGUGGGGACAGUGAAUAUUUGCGAAGGACACUUACAGAGGAAUUUCAACAGAUGGAACAGAGAGUACAAAUACAGGAUGGCUCUGAAUUUGCUUCAUCCAAUCAAACUCAUGAAAUUGGGUUUACAGAUUAUAUCUCCUUCCAAAUAGUCUUUGUUAGAUGUUACAAAUGAUAUAGCAGAGUUGAGGUGAUUUAUGAAUGAUUCAAGCAAUGUGAAGUAGGGAAGGCCUUUGGAAUCGAUCUUGUUGUGCAUCCCUCCUGGUUACUAUCGUGUGGAUUUGGCUCUAUAAAAGGAACCUCUUAUGCAAUUAACUGGGAGUUGGACCAAUUGAAGGAUGACUCUGAAUUUGCUUCAGAUUAUAUUUCCUUCCAAAUACCUGAUCAGUCUUUUGUAGAUGUAACAAAUUGUAUGGCGGUAGUGAGGAGACUUACGAAUGAAUGUGAAGUAGGGAGGACCUUUGGAAGGAUCUAGUUGUGCAUCCCUCCUGGUCACUGUUUUGUGGAUUGGCUUUAUAUGAGGAACCACUUGUGCAAAUAACUGAGAGUUGUACCAAUUGAAGGACCCUAUCUUACAACUGGAGAUGGAGAAUGAGAAGCUUCACAGCAUUCCCCAUGCUGUAGUUCCUCCCUUGUCAGUUAGUGCAAGUAGAGGUGUGGCUUGUGUUGUAGGUGCAAGAAAGCAGGCCCUGAUCUACAUACUGGACGAGUAUGAAGAAGAAUCUCUGAUUCAGAAUGACUGUUUGUUCAAGAGUUUGCGAUGGUUAUACUUGAGUUGCUGCUGUGGGUGGGCCUCUAAUACUUCAAGCUGCAGACA